GCCCAGGGAUGAGAUUAACAAUACUGAACAUGUCCUUGUUUUAGACAGUGUCUCCUCAGUGGAGUAAAAGCCUCACGGUGUGCUGAAUCUUGGUCUGAGAGUCGCCAACCCACUGGUGGACCGGAUCCACUUACAAGAGUCAAUGUUCAAACUUUCAACUGUCUCCAGCUGUGAGAUUCAGAACCUCAACAGUGAGUUGUGUUCAUGUGUGUGGAUGACAAUCUUUAUUGUGGGAUGGGGGUGCAUAUGAGUGUUACAAUCUCAUCUGUGUACUAGGCCCUGUUAGGACGCUUACUGGCCUGAGGCUUUAACUGGUAUGCAUGAGAGUCACAAUUCCUCUGAGUCCCUGUGUUGGUAUUAACCCAUGAUCAUACCUAUGGCCCUGAACCCAGGUAUGAGAACCAACAUCUCUUCAACUGUCUGGGUCCAGAUAGGAGAGUCUUCCAC
rnacentral:lncRNA from 1 species